GACCUAAGUUUAUGGAUAUGGGCAUGUAGAUGAUAAAUGGAUUGGAGUUGGUAGACUUUGAUGAUUUUGCUAGCCCUCCUCAUAUGUAUUGGACUUAGAUAACUAUGAUACUAGGCUUGGUUGGAUCAUAGUUAUGAUUUGUGCUGGAUUCCUUCAUUUGAAGAUUGAAGCUGGAGAACUUUAGGGUGUAGAGUUAUCAACGUGAGAUAUAUCGGAUUUAUAUAGGUAUAGUAUGAUUGAAAUGAGUGUGCUAUUGGUGGACUAUUGGAUCAUCUUGGAUAUUGUUACUUGGAUUCUAGGUUUAAGAUAAUUUGGGCACUUGGAUUUGUGAUAUUUUGACCUAAGCUUAGUAGUUUGUAUGUGCCCCAUAUGAAUAUGAGCCACGGAGAUGAUACAAAUGGAUCGGAGUUGGUAGACUUCGAUGAUUUUGCUAACCCUCCCCAAAAAUGUUCAUGUACAAGAUCAUCAUGGUCGUGGAGGGAAAACUAGGCAUGACUCAACCCAAUGUAUAAGAAGAAAUAUGAUUUUGACCAUGCGAAUGGAAAUACAUGUACAUGCAGUGCCAACGGAAAAAAUGUUAAUUUAGUGGAUUCUGGUACGAAGCCACCUUGCAAGAGGUUAUUGAGUGCAGGCAACCCUGCGUUGGUGAAGGACCCUUCCUUGGCGCCGGAGGAAAUGAAGAGACAGGGGUCUUAAGACUAUGAGGGAAAAAUUGGGACGAGUGACUCAGCUCAGGGUUCCUCUUUGCAAGUUCAAGUGAAAAGGCAGAGGAUGGCAGGGCGUGCUGCUCUUGAUAGCGUUUGCAUCGCUUCUUCAUACCUCUCGUGCACUCCUCGUUUCCCGUCGAUUCGACUUGGCGUCCUUACCUUGUUUGAGGGUUAUGUGUCACGGACUUGGUUCCGCAUCCCACGUUCCCUUGCUAGGAGUCCCUAGCCUUGGCGACAGGUAGCGACGUGCACUUGGGCGCUUGGCGUCCUUGGGUAAGUUCGGGGGUGGUGCCCAAGCUUGCAGCUAUGGCGACAACUUGCAUGGGAGCAGAUGAUGUAGGAACAAGGCAGCACACGAGUAACUCGCAGCCAGGGAAAUGAUACCUAGCCGGACAUGCAGGCAGUGGAGAGUACACAGGAGGUGUGGGUAGGGGUGAAAACGCUGCCGGGAGCUGCUGCCGUUAGUUAGCCUUUAGAUCCAGAGCUGAGUGGCGAGGGUAUGAUCAACCUAAGAUAUAUCGGAUUUAUAUAUGUAUAGUAUGGUUGGCAUGAGUGCGGUAUUGGUGGACUAUUAGAUCAUCUUGGACAUUACUACUUGGAUUCUAGGUUGGAGGUAACUUGGGCACUUGGAUUUGUGAUAUUUUGACCUAAGCUUAGUAGCUUGUAUAUGCCCCAUUGGAUCAUCUUGGAUAUUACUAGGAUUCUAGGUUGGAGAUAACUUGGGCACUUGGAUUUGUGAUAUUUUGACCUAAGCUUAGUAGCUUGUAUGUGCCCCAUAUUUGAUAUGAGCAUGGAGAUGAUACAAAUGGAUCUUAGUUGGUAGACUUCGAUGAUUUUGCUAGCCCUCCCCAUAUGUAUUGGACUUAGAUAACUAUGAUACUAGGCUUGGUUGGAUUAUAAUUAUGAUUUUUGCUAGAUUCCUGUGAAGAUUGAAGCUGGAGAACUUUAGGGUGUAGUAUGAUCAACUUGAGAUAUAUCAGAUUUAUAUAGGUAUAUAUGAUUGGCAUGAGUGUGGUAUUGCUGGACUAUUGGAUCAUCUUGGAUAUCACUACUUGGAUUCUAGGUUGGAGGUAACUUGGGCCCUUGGAUUUGUGAUAUUUUGACCUAAGCUUAGUAGCUUGUAUGUGCCCCAUAUGGAUAUGAGCAUGGAGAUGAUACAAAUGGAUCGGAGAUGGUAGACUUUGAUGAUUUUGCUAACCCUCAUAUGUACCGGACUUAGAUAACUAUGAUAGUAGGCUUGGUUGGAUCAUAGUUAUGAUUUGUGCUAGAUUCCUUCCUUUGAAGAUUGAAGCUGGAAAACUUUAGGGUGUAGUAUGAUCUACCUGAGAUAUAUCGGAUUUAUAUAGGUAUAGUAGGAUUAGCAUGACUACGGUAUUGGUGGACUAUUGGGAUCAUCUUGGAUCUUGCUACUUGGAUUCUAGGUUGGAGAUAACUUGGGCACUUGGAUUUGUGAUAUUUUGACCUAAGCUUAAUAGCUUGUAUGUGCCCCAUAUGGAUAUGAGCAUGGAGUUGGUAGACUUUGAUGAUUUUGCUAACAACCCCCCCAAGAAUGAGUGUGGUGAGAUGAGAUGAUACAAAUGGAUCGGAGUGUAGACUUUGAUGAUUUUGCUAACCCUCCCCAAGAAUGUUACGAGUGCAAGAUCAUCAUGGGAGGAUGAUUUGGAUUAAUUAGAAUAGAUGGCAAUUUCAAUGGUUUUUUGCCUUUUUGGAGCAGCUGAACUCGCUUUUAUUAUGUAUUUGUGCUAGUUUAGAUGCAAUAGUAGUAGGAGGGUAGCAUAGGAGGCACACCUCCCCCUUGCCACCGUCAGGGCCGAAACCUGGCGAGAGGGAGACAUGCAUGAGCGGGUCGGGGCAGAAAGCACAAGGCUGCACUGUAGCAUCUUCAUCGGCACCUCGUUGGCGUUGUCCACCCAUGCCCUGACGACAAAGUACGAGAGGUCGAGCCUAUCGAAGGAUUCAAUGGCCAUAUGGUAGAUUAGGCAUUCGGGCAACAGUUCUUGGGUGGUUUGAGGCGAGAACUCCCGCAGGGGAUGCGUUGGAUGGACAGCCCAAUGCUGUAGCAGCAUUGAACCGAUGUGGCGAAGGUUAUCUUGUUCGACCACCACACUAGGAGCGGCGUGCCACGGUAGUGGACUGCGUCCACCCCACGAACCAUGUUGAACCACCGGCACUGCGUGAAGCUGGCGAAGAAAGAUCCUAGCUACAUGAGAGAGACCUGAAAGCCGUUUGUUCGAAAGCUCCGGGAAGUCGUCCUUAUGCCCUCAACAAUUUUUACCAGGAUUAGAGACGACCUCGUACCCGCCACCAUGAGCACCAGCGCCAAAUCCCAUAGGUAAGAACAUAUCCUCGAUGAGGCACCUCGUCUUGCGCAAGCGGGUGUUGCCCCUCGCCGGGUCGUACGCGAACCUAGCCGACAUGGAAGGCUCCAGCGACGAAAGGGCGGGUGGCUCCUUGUCGGGAAAGGUGAACCUGGAAUGAGUCGGCGAUUCGGGUGGUCGAGGGGUUGGGGGGACCAGCCUGGAUUGGACUGACUAGCGGAGGCGGCGGGGGUGGCAGCUGCACUCACGGCCUUGGCGGUGGUCAAGGCGGGGCUAAGAGUAGUGAUGGACUCAUUAGCGACGGCCAGGUCAUCAUGUCGGCGCGUGAAGUUCCUUCUGAAGCACAUCCUCUAGCCCAAGUGGUACAUUUGUUCAUUUGUGAUAUCUUCUGUUAGUGUUAUGUUCUCGUUGUCUCUUGCUCUGUUUCUCUUGCCCACAGGUACAUUUGUUCAUUUUCGUAGACCUGCUAUGUUCUAUUAUAAUUCGAGUUCAAAUGUCAAGUUGCGCCGCCACAAAAUGCUGCUACUUUAAGUUCUGUAAGCGCAGCGAGCAGCGUAGGCGGCCGCUGCAGCUGCUCACAUGGAACGUAUGCCCUGUUGCAGCCUUGCAGAUCAUUAUCAUCUCAUCUCACACACUCAUGCCACAUAACCUGGCGAGCUCACUCCUUACUCAUUCUAUGUACCACAUUUGUAGAUCAGUUUAAGGUACUGUUAAUGAACCAAAAGUUAAUGUUGUUGGCCUUGCCAAAAUGCCAUGAAGCUUAACAUUCGACACUUCCUUCAAAGGGGUCCUUCAGCCUCCAAGGAGAAGGGAAGUGAUGUCUGACAGGGAAAGAAACUAGGCGAAGCUCUGGAUGCUCGAUCGGACAUUUGAUGUGUGGUAGUACGUGUGUGAUGAAGCAUGGUGUAGUAGCAAACUAGCAACUGUUUCUGACAUACAUGGAUUUCUUUCUGCCUCUAUUUGAUGCUCGGUGGUGCUGAUCCGAAGGUCCGUGCGGACCCUGCUCUGGACAUAUGUCUCCUUAAUUUCCGUGUGCAAUUGUGCAAUCCAUGCUUUACACUUUAAAAUGAGAAUAAAAUUUAGCUCAUGUUGCCCUUCCAUCAUGCACCCAGAAUAUAUUACCUUUCUGCUUUUUAUAUUUUGGUUGGGCAUAUUUCAUGAUCAGAGGAUCGAUGAUUUGUGAUGAUUUGUUAUGCUAGACAAUGGAAAUAAGAUUUGGUGGAAAACAAAUGAUAUGAUAGGUGAUUUAUGAUGUACUACUAUUUUAGAUAACAAUACUAAGCUUUUAUUUGGUUGUUCUGCAUUUUUCCCUUUGCGAAGAUAGAUAUUAUAAGAGAUAAACAUCAUGUACAGGUUAACUUUUUGUGUGUGCCUUGCUGCCAAGUGGAAAUAGUCUAUAUGAUGCUCAAAAAUAGAGCUUCCUGGUGGGAAGGAUGAGGCACACUCAUUGAUACUUUGGUUUUAUAUCCAUUUGUUAUACAGUUUUUCUCUUCCAAGCAUAUAAACUUUAGCAAAUUAGAGUGUGCAAUCAAGUCUCCUAAGUGAACAUUUUUACCAUAUUAUCAAGUUUGAGGGCAUAUACGAUACGAGCAUAUAAGACAAGAGCAUGUCAUGCUACCUGAAAAUCUGCCUGGAGAUCUAAUUCCAUAUUUUUUCUAUUUUGUCGUUUAGAAAACCAGUUUCCUGAGUUGUUAGUCUGAGUAUUCAAAUUGAUCCGCAGAGUUCAGGGCUUCUGGAUGGAAGAGUUUCCUACAACGUCAAAAUCUUAGUACUCUCUACAUAGACUUCAUAAUUAUGCCUGACUUUUUCUGAGGAAUUGUUGAAGUAUGCCUUUUAUUUGGGUUGUUUGUGCAUUUGCAGUGUUGGAGGUGUUAGUGCAAGAUUGUAGAGUUGGAAAGUAUAGUAAAACGUCAGUUGGUGCAGGGACUUGGUGAAGCCAUCAGCCUCGACUGUGUCUGCUUCCCCGAUGGUUUUGACUUCUGACUAGUGAUUCUGAUGCAUAUUACUUGAUGAUUUGGUCUUUGUGGCAACUUUCAGUUUGAACUGGCAUUCAGUGGCUUCAUCCUCUUUGGUGCAGCCUGGAGUUAGUAGUGUGCACAUCUGAAUCUCUUGACUUUUUCCUGAAGCAUAUUACGUGGUUUAUGGUGUCUGCUAACUUGCAUGCGAUUUUGAUGGAAUCUGAUCUUGUUUUUUGCUCCCAGUAUAUACAAAAGGCUAGAAGUAAAUGAUGGAAGAUCCUUUAGUCUCAACGAGGGUUCUACUUUUGUACUCAAAGUUUGUAUAGUAGAUAAUCAAAUUUUGUUCUUUAGCUUGCAAAAUUAUCACCUUAUAGAGAAGUAAAGGUUGCAUUGAGCUCUGAUUAUCUCCACUAGCAGGCAGAAGGCGCGGCGGCAUGCCGCGCCUGAGUUUAAGCCCGUCAUUUAGCAAAUGUGUAGCUUAAUUUAUUGUUGCUUGUAUCUGCUACUAAUAGUUUGUUGUGAAAAUAAUAUAGUGAGCAGUAUGGAUCACUUAGUUAAUUACAUGACUUGGAGGCAUUCAGGAUGCAUGAAAAAGUUCAGCAGGGUGAGCACUGGUCUAAGAGAAGUACACUAUCUAGCUAAUUGAUUUACAGAUGAAGAUAAAAGAGAGAAAGUUGGUGGAGUUGCUUGUGGCUUGUCAGCACUCCGGAUGAUUUGCUAUUGGCCUUCAUGCUUGGAGUCGAGAGAAUAAUUCUUUUAAGCUCUGGUUGUUAUAUAUUCUUGGCAAACCUGAGUGUUUGAGGUUACAUUGGAUCUUCGUGCAGAAAAGAUCCGCUGGCUUUGUAUGCUCUCAUGUACAGUGUGCUCAGAGGAUGGCAGAGUUGCAAUGAUAUCUUUGUUCGAUGUAUCAUCUGCCAUUGGUAGAGGAUGAAGAACGUGGGAUGGCCAGGCAGCGUGUUGAUCAUCAGGAGUAGCGGUAACUGGUCUUCAUUCUCUAAGUAUUCUGUUGCUCAUACUUGGAAAUGUAAAUUGCUUGGGAUGUACCUUGGCCAUGGCUGUGCAUCUGGACAGUUAGAACAACCAUAUGAUCCUUUUCCAUCUGUUCUCAUUUUCUUCCAGCAAACUUUACAACUCAUAUACCACCGGUAUUUCAGUGACUUUGAUUCUCAGCUUAUAGUAUUUCUUCUGCACAUGUAUUGCCGAAAGUAUAUGUAGUUGUAGAAAUGACGGUGGAUUAUUUUUAAAUACCAGUGUCAGUGGGAUCAACCAAAGCAUUGAUAGUGAUUUCUGUUGUUUCUUGGCGACCUUGCCCUGUA